UACGUAGGGGGCAAGCGUUGUCCGGAUUCACUGGGUGUAAAGGGCGCGUAGGCGGGUUAGCAAGUCAGAGGUGAAAUCUCCCGGCUCAACCGGGAAACUGCCUUUGAAACUGUUAAUCUUGAGUGCGGAAGAGAGAGAUGGAAUUCCAGGUGUAGCGGUGAAAUGCGUAGAUAUCUGGAGGAACACCAGUUGCGAAGGCGAUCUCUUGGUCCGUUACUGACGCUCAGGCGCGAAAGCGUGGGUAGCAAACAGG
rnacentral:rRNA from 1 species